GCUCAAAAAGUUACAACCAGACACGACUAGAAUUCGAAUUCCAAAUUACAUAGAAUCCGUAUACAAAACGAUUUAAAUAACUAAGGAAAACAUAAAGCUAUCCCCCCGUGACAAAUCGGAACAUCUCCACAAACCAAUCGGCAACUCCCGGACUCUCCCUCCGUAUCAUCAACAGACUCCCUUGUUAUAAUCAUCGGCAGACUUCCUUGUCGUAGCCAUCGGCACAGACAAAUCAUCAUCUACAGACUUAGUCACGUUCAAUCUCUCCUUCAUCGGCAACCACCCUGUAGACAAAACACCGUCGUCCUAUUCUGCCGGCC
rnacentral:lncRNA from 1 species